CAGUCGCCGCGGUAAUACCAGCACCUCGAGUGGUCAGGAGGUUUAUUGGGCCUAAAGCAUCCGUAGCCGGUUGCAUAAGUUUUCGGUUAAAUCUAUGCGCUUAACGUAUAGGCCGCCGAAAAUACUGUGCAGCUAGGGAGUGGGAGAGGUACACGGUACUCGAUAGGAAGGGGUAAAAUCCUUUGAUCUAUUGAUGACCACCUGUGGCGAAGGCGGUGUACCAGAACACGUUCGACGGUGAGGGAUGAAAGCUGGGGGAGCAAACCGGAUUAGAUACCCCAGUAGUCCCUGUCUCUUAUAC
rnacentral:rRNA from 1 species